CUUAUAUUAUAAAAAGUACUUUUUAAACACUAACGCGUAAAAAAAAAAAAUUAAACAAAAAUACAGUAAUUUGGGGCAAUAUAUACAAAUUUUAUCUUUAUUAUCGCGACGGAUAUUGACAGGUGUACGUUGAAAGUUCUGGUGGAAGAUUUUUUAUGCUUUUUUUUUUUUUCCAUAUAUAUAAAUAUACACACAAAUAUACGUAUAUACAUACCUGCACUAUGAGGCUUUGUAAACAAAUUGAUCCAGUGGUGGAUAUUGUAAUAAUUGGUUUUGGUGUUAAGAGUAAAACAUUUAUUGAUAUUUUUUUACAAGAGGGUAAGUUAAGAUGCGUGAAUAUUAUUGUAAUAGGAAAAGAUACGUUUGUGUUUUUAAACAACUAUGUGCAAGAUAUUAUUUUAUGUAAAUCUAGUUAUAUUGAUAUAUACAAGUAUUGUAAAGAAAGAAAUAUAUUAUUUAUUAAUGACGAGGUAGAUUAUGUAGAUAAAAAUAAAAAAGUUAUAAAUUUUUUAUCUAAUAGGAAUUGUUUAAAUUAUGAUUUUUUGCUGUGUGAUUUUGAUUAUACAAGUAAUUUUUUAAUGAAUAGUGACAUGAGCCAUAACAAUAUAUACACAUUUAAAAAUAAAAAUUUAUUUUUUUAUUAUAUACAUAUUAUAUAUUUAUGUUUAAUUAAAUCACAAAAAAACGGUAAGACUGAUAUUGCAUCUUAUGAAAUAUUAAAAAAAUCACUUUUAAAAAAAAUCAAAGUUGAAAGGUUUUUCAAUUUUUUUUCUUACAAUGAUGGGUAUGUGGAUGCAAUAUUUGACAUGUAUAAUAAUAUUGAGGUAGGUUUGGGUUUGAAUAAGGAAAAUAUUGAUAAUGUCAGUUGUAACAGUAAUAUGUUGAUAGAUAAUAGUGGCACACCGAAUAAAAGGGUUAUGUUCAAUAUAAGUAAUACCCAAGAAACGAACAAUACAGACUCAGAUAGCAAUAAAGGGACUAACGUAAACGAUAAAAAAGAUACUUGUUUUGAAUUUUUGUUAUUGUGUGAUAAUAAUAUAGCUGGAAAAAAAUUAUAUAAUUGUAUACAUGAAUAUGUAAAAAAAAUAAACAUAAAUGUUAAAUUAUUGUACAUAUAUAUAACAAAUAAUACGAAUAUAAA
rnacentral:lncRNA from 1 species